GACGAACGCUGGCGGCGUGCUUAACCCAUGCAAGUCGAGCGGUAAGGCCCUUUCGGGGGUACACGAGCGGCGAACGGGUGAGUAACACGUGGGUGACCUGCCCUCAGCUCUGGGAUAAGCCUGGGAAACCGGGUCUAAUACUGGAUAUGACUCCAUGACGCAUGUUGUGGGGUGGAAAGCCUUGUGCGGCUGAGGAUGGGCCCGCGGCCUAUCAGCUUGUUGGUGGGGUGAUGGCCUACCAAGGCGACGACGGGUAGCCGGCCUGAGAGGGCGACCGGCCACACUGGGACUGAGACACGGCCCAGACUCCUACGGGAGGCAGCAGUGGGGAAUCUUGCGCAAUGGGCGAAAGCCUGACGCAGCGACGCCGCGUGAGGGAUGACGGCCU
rnacentral:rRNA from 1 species